rnacentral:rRNA from 1 species
GAUGAACGCUGGCUACAGGCUUAACACAUGCAAGUCGAGGGGCAGCGGGAUUGAAGCUUGCUUCAAUUGCCGGCGACCGGCGCACGGGUGAGUAACGCGUAUCCAACCUUCCGUACACUCAGGGAUAGCCUUUCGAAAGAAAGAUUAAUACCUGAUGGUAUCUUAAGCACACAUGUAAUUAAGAUUAAAGAUUUAUCGGUGUACGAUGGGGAUGCGUUCCAUUAGGUAGUAGGCGGGGUAACGGCCCACCUAGCCAACGAUGGAUAGGGGUUCUGAGAGGAAGGUCCCCCACAUUGGAACUGAGACACGGUCCAAACUCCUACGGGAGGCAGCAGUGAGGAAUAUUGGUCAAUGGCCGAGAGGCUGAACCAGCCAAGUCGCGUGAAGGAAGAAGGAUCUAUGGUUUGUAAACUUCUUUUAUAGGGGAAUAAAGUGGAGGACGUGUCCUUUUUUGUAUGUACCCUAUGAAUAAGCAUCGGCUAACUCCGUG